AGUGAACGCUGGCGGUAGGCCUAACACAUGCAAGUCGAACGGCAGCACAGUAAGAGCUUGCUCUUACGGGUGGCGAGUGGCGGACGGGUGAGGAAUACAUCGGAAUCUACUUUUUCGUGGGGGAUAACGUAGGGAAACUUACGCUAAUACCGCAUACGACCUACGGGUGAAAGCAGGGGAUCUUCGGACCUUGCGCGAUUGAAUGAGCCGAUGUCGGAUUAGCUAGUUGGCGGGGUAAAGGCCCACCAAGGCGACGAUCCGUAGCUGGUCUGAGAGGAUGAUCAGCCACACUGGAACUGAGACACGGUCCAGACUCCUACGGGAGGCAGCAGUGGGGAAUAUUGCACAAUGGGCGCAAGCCUGAUCCAGCCAUACCGCGUGAGUGAAGAAGGUCUUCGGGUUGUAAAGCCCUGUUGUUAGGAAAGAAAAGCAGCAGGUUAAUACCCCGCUGUUCUGACGGUACCCAAAGAAUAAGCACCGGCUAACUUCGUG
rnacentral:rRNA from 1 species